GACGAACGCUGGCGGCGUGCUUAACACAUGCAAGUCGAACGGAAAGGCCCUGCUUUUGUGGGGUGCUCGAGUGGCGAACGGGUGAGUAACACGUGAGUAACCUGCCCUUGACUUUGGGAUAACUUCAGGAAACUGGGGCUAAUACCGGAUAGGAGCUCCUGCUGCAUGGUGGGGGUUGGAAAGUUUCGGCGGUUGGGGAUGGACUCGCGGCUUAUCAGCUUGUUGGUGGGGUAGUGGCUUACCAAGGCUUUGACGGGUAGCCGGCCUGAGAGGGUGACCGGCCACAUUGUGACUGAGAUACGGCCCAGACUCCUACGGGAGGCAGCAGUGGGGAAUAGUGCACAAUGGGCGGAAGCCUGAUGCAGCAACUCCGCGUGCGGGAUGACGGCCUUCGGGUUGUAAACCGCUUUCGCCUGUGACGAAGCGUGAGUGACGGUAAUGGGUAAAGAAGCACCGGCUAACUACGUG
rnacentral:rRNA from 1 species